GUCCUACGGGGCUCAUCAGUAGUGACUCUUUCUCCCUUUUUUCCACCCUGCAGCAGCAACGCUGCGUGGAGGAUGAAGGUUUUCGGAUUGUAAACUCCUUUUGUUAGAGAAGAUAAUGACGGUAUCUAACGAAUAAGCACCGGCUAACUCCGUGCCAGCAGCCGCGGUAAUACGGAGGGUGCAAGCGUUACUCGGAAUCACUGGGCGUAAAGAGCGCGUAGGCGGGAUAGCAAGUCAGAUGUGAAAUCCUAUGGCUUAACCAUAGAACUGCAUUUGAAACUGUUAUUCUAGAGUAUGGGAGAGGG
rnacentral:rRNA from 1 species